UACGAGAGCUCAGCUGUUGUGAUUCAUUGGGCGUAAAGGGUGCGUAGGCGGCGUGGUAAGUCGGGUGUGAAAUCUCGGAGCUUAACUCCGAAACUGCAUUCGAUACUGCCGUGCUUGAGGACUGGAGAGGAGACUGGAAUUUACGGUGUAGCGGUGAAAUGCGUAGAUAUCGUAAGGAAGACCAGUGGCGAAGGCGGGUCUCUGGACAGUUCCUGACGCUGAGGCACGAAGGCCAGGGGAGCAAACGGG
rnacentral:rRNA from 1 species